AUCUAAAAUCGGUUAACGUGAGUGUAAAGAUUUAAUACACUUUAAGUUACGGAUUCUGAUAAGUAUCAAACCGUGAUUAGCCAGAUCAACGUAAAGGGAAUAAAAAUACAAAUUGUUUGGGGUUUAACGGCUUUUACCGCCGAAACAAACAACAAAUUCAAACCUCAAAACACAUCGUUGAAGAAUGCUCUAUAAGAUCGUUUCCUGGUGGGUUAAUAGAGCUAAACA